rnacentral:lncRNA from 1 species
GUAUAUAACUUUUUCCUAAUGGAAUAGUCUAACCCUCCAACGGUCAUUUCGACCAAUUCAUGUUCAGGCACUACUGUAAAUCAUCUAGAUUUCAACAAACGGAACCUAUUCAGAUAAUCAUUUAUAGGUUCAGUGAAUUUUCUUUUAAUACUGGCUAAUUCCUUAAGACUUAUCUUAGUUUGCCCCAUGUAGAAUUGUUC